ACCAAGGCGACGAUCCGUAACUGGUCUGAGAGGAUGAUCAGUCACACUGGAACUGAGACACGGUCCAGACUCCUACGGGAGGCAGCAGUGGGGAAUAUUGGACAAUGGGCGAAAGCCUGAUCCAGCCAUGCCGCGUGUGUGAAGAAGGUCUUCGGAUUGUAAAGCACUUUAAGUUGGGAGGAAGGGCAGUAAGUUAAUACCUUGCUGUUUUGACGUUACCGACAGAAUAAGCACCGGCUAACUCUGUGCCAGCAGCCGCGGUAAUACAGAGGGUGCAAGCGUUAAUCGGAAUUACUGGGCGUAAAGCGCGCGUAGGUGGUUUGUUAAGUUGGAUGUGAAAGCCCCGGGCUCAACCUGGGAACUGCAUCCAAAACUGGCAAGCUAGAGUACGGUAAAGGGUGGUGGAAUUUCCUGUGUA
rnacentral:rRNA from 1 species